GUUAUUUUAAGAUUUUAAUGUAUAUCUUACCUGACAAAUAUUUCACUUUUGCUAUUAGGAAGACAGCUUGCAGAAGACCGGGAACAGUUCUUACUAUAGUCUCCAGGAUUGAGUUUACUCUCGGCAGAGCUGCCAGAAGACUCCUUUUAAAAUGCUGAACUGGAUCAUGCUGGAAGCCUUCUGGUGGCUCCCCUCUGUACUCAGAACUGAAGCCAGAGAAGUUACCACACUGGUCUCUGUGCUGAGACCUCACGGCUUACUGACUACAGCUCUCCUACACCAAUUCUCUGCUCCAGCUACACACACCCCUGCUGGAACAUAAAGGAAGGGGAUCCAGAGAUGAACCUAAUCCUGAACCAUUUCCACAUAUUUGCCCAUCGAGUUCUCCUGUCUGAGAAGAUCACGUCCCCAUUUCCACAG